GGAGGCACCCAGCGAAGCAUUGCAAAGCAGAAGGGAACUUUUCUCCAUGAAUGGUUCUUCCAAAGAGUGGAAAAAGCCUCAGAGUCUCCAGUUAGUGGGGCAGACAGAGGUCAUGGCAUUCCAGGUUUGAACCCUUGGAGCUCCGUGGAACACAUCUGUUUUUAGAGUAUAAAACAGGGUGCUGAGUUGGGGAAGAGCGGUUAUGUGAAUGCCUUCCAUUGGUCCAGAUAUGUCCCAUGGAGUUACAAGUCAACAGUAUCCUGAGAAAGUUCCAGAGAAACAAGCCACUUGGAACUACUGAUCUUCCUGCUGCCCCAGGAUCUUCCUUUCCUGAGUGUCAGAUGAUCGAAGCUCCACAGCCUGGGGACUCUCUGUUGAGUCUCAAUGUCAACACAGUGUACGCAUCAGGCCACUGCAUUCCUUUAUUAUUUAAUAAGUCAGAUUCUUCUCAUUGUGUUAGCUCA